rnacentral:lncRNA from 1 species
AUGAGCGUUGGGGCACGGUGCACAUGGGUUAGGGGCUCUAAGGUUGGGUGGGGGAAGGAGCCCCAGGAAACAGUGUGCCUUUGUGAGGGUGUGUGUGUGUGUGUGUGUGUGUGUACCGAUGAGUCUGUGUGCAGUGGGUGUGGGUGUUUGUCUCCCUGUAUCCGCCUUCUCUCCCAUUCUGGACUUUUAGCCUUCCUGGGCUCGUUUUCCUCAUGUCCUACCUCCUCCCUCUUGGGGCUCAAAUUAGGUGCCCUAGUGGAGGGGGGGGGCACGCUCCAGGACCUAGUCCAACCCCAGACGCUGCCUGAGGCUUCCCUCCAGCUCCCCCUCCCUUCCUUUUCUCUCUCUCCUCCCUCCCUCUCUUUGCUCUCCUCCUUCCACCCCCCCCCCAGGCUGGCGUGCCAGGGGGUGGGACAUGCCAAUCACUGGCUGUGCCUCUCCCGGCUGCCAGCACAGGGCGCAGCUCCCCCCCCCACCGGAGCCAGGUGUUUGGGUCCCUGGAGACGCCGCCGGCCCCCCGGGAAGGCAGUGGGGCUGAGGAUCCUACAGACCCUUCUCCAGACCCAUGGGAACCCUGAAUCCCACCACCCCAUCCAUUUCCAGUCCCCCCAAGAUGGACUGAAUCAGGUUGCUGGCCAGAUGGACAAGCUGGAUGCCAAGGUGGGUAUUAGGCCAGAAGCCAGCAGGAGACCAGGCCAAGAGCCCCAGGGCUCUCAGGGAACAAAUGGCCACAUGGAAGGCCACACCAGCCAGGGAACGUGGCCCUGACGUGUGCAAGGGCCCAGAGGGCCCUCCCUAGGUCCACAGUAUCUUGGACUCCCACAGAGUAGAUCUCAGUCCUGUGUCCUGGUCAUGCAGGGAUACUAAUGGGCACCCAUGCAGGCCCCCAUCUCAGUACCCCCAGACUCCACAAUGUAGGCUGGUAGCUAGGAACUGGGUGGUCAGCCCUCAUUGGGUCAUUCAGAUAAGUGCUGCUUCUGGGUUAUCAGUGCUAAUGAGAGGGAUUCACCUCUUGCCACAAAACAUACCUACAGCCCCACUCAGGCUGACC